GAUGAAGAACGUAGCGAAAUGCGAUAAGUAAUGUGAAUUGCAGAAUUCAGUGAAUCAUCGAAUCUUUGAACGCACAUUGCGCCCGCCAGUAUUCUGGCGGGCUUGCCUGUUCGAGCGUCAUUACAACCCUCAGGCCCCCGGGCCUGGCGUUGGGGAUCGGCGGAAGCCCCCUGCGGGCACAACGCCGUCCCCCAAAUACAGUGGCGGUCCCGCCGCAGCUUCCAUUGCGUAGUAGCUAACACCUCGCAACUGGAGAGCGGCGCGGCCACGCCGUAAAACACCCAACUUCUGAAUGUUGACCUCGAAUCAGGUAGGAAUACCCGCUGAACUUAAGCAUAUCAAUAAGCGGAGGA
rnacentral:misc_RNA from 1 species